UAGCUACUGGGUUCAGUGAUAUGUCAUAAUCCCUUCUGUGGGCUGGGCCCACAUAAGGAGAGUCAAAUCACUUGGGUGCUGGGAAGAGGCACAUGUCACACGUGCAAGAAGGUCCAAGGAUGAGAUUAAAAAUUCCACAAAGGUCCAAAUUCUAGAAUCACAGUCUCACAGGUGUGCUAGAUUUUGAUCUGAGAGACAGCAGUCAACCUGUGGACCAGAUCCACUCAUGAGAGUCAAUUUUCCAACUUUUGACUGUCUCCAGGGCCCAGACAGAAGAGAAGAGUCACAUCAUCUAGAUGAUGAAUGAAAAGAUAUGUCAUUAUUCUCCUUUGGGCAGUGCUUCUGCAGAAAAGUUGCACCUUCUAGGUGUUGGACUCAGCAAUAUAUCACAAUGUCUGCAGUAUUUUGGAAGGAGAGGAGAGUCACCAUUACUUAGGUGCUAGGCCCAGCAAUACAUCUCAAGCACUUCUUGGGCAAAGCCCAAGCAGUAAAAAAGAGUCACAUUACCUAGGUUCUGGGUAUAGCAAUAUGUCACAAAUGCCCCUAAGAAGAGGGCCCAGGAAAAGAGAGUCACCUUGUCUAUCUUCAAUUUACAGACCUUGGCUUUUCUACCCCAAUUCAAGAAGUCACUUCUUCAGUCAACCAAACCAAUUACAAAAUUGUGUUCCAAUGUCACAUGUUCAAAAAUAAACAGUUCCUG
rnacentral:lncRNA from 10 species